rnacentral:rRNA from 1 species
GUCUACAGCCAUACUACGUUGAAAACACCGGCUCCCGUCCGAUCACCGAAUUUAAGCAACGUCGGGCCCUGUUAGUACUUGGAUGGGUGACCGCCUAAGAAUACCUGGUGCUGUAGACU